AACGAACGCUGGCGGCGUGGAUUAGGCAUGCAAGUCGAACGCGAAAGAGGGGGCAACUCCUCGAGUAGAGUGGCGAACGGGUGAGUAACGCGUGAAGAACCUGCCUUCAACAGGGGGAUAACACUCCCAACGGGGUGCUAAUACCGCAUGAGACCACGGAUCUGCAUGGAUCCGAGGUCAAAGGUGGCCUCUGCUUGCAAGCUACCGGUUGAAGAUGGCUUCGCGUCCCAUUAGCUAGUUGGCGGUGUAAAAGACCACCAAGGCGACGAU
rnacentral:rRNA from 1 species